GGAAGCUGUAGCCAUGCCUACUUAGGGGCUGGCUGCAGGUGUGCCUUGACCACGCUUGCGAGGGCGUGGUCAGGGUGACGUAGAGUGAUACUUUCAGGGGACUGCGUUUCUCUUUCGGUUUCACUUUUGUACUUGCUGGACAGACUGCUGCCACGCCGGCUGGCUAGGUUGCUCUGUAAGUAAGGCUUUUCCCUAUUAAAUGCCCUUGUAUUUCUACCUGACUCCGUAUUGGUAAUUUCCCACUUUAUCUGGUUGUCAGGAGCAGGAUAUUGGAAACCUACACCCCAUUUGGAACAGGCUGUGGGGUGCACCAGGCCUACAGACUAGGCGGGGAAAGGUCCCUCUCUUCACAGGUGCUCCCAUCUCCCAGCCAACCCGCUGCCGCUGAGCUGCUCCCAGCUUGGAGACUCACACAGACCUCCUAUGGUUUUACCACCGUGCGAUCGGGACCAGCUUGGACUGCAGCCUACCCACGCCUGGAGGCUUCCAACCCUUGAACCGACUGCCACCCACCACUGCCAAAUGCCGCAGACUAACUGAACACCUGUGCCACCCACUGGUCAAAGAUAGUUACUGCAUCUGGAGUAGAAAUCAGUUCCACACAGCCAAUGAAGACCUGCCUGACAGCAGUCCCUGGAAACCCUGGUAAGAAAAUGGGCCACACCUCCUCGACUGCACUGGAUCCAACUUGCUCCAUUUCAAUGGACACUCUGGCCAAAGCUUCAGAUAUUGACUUCAAUCAAGUUGAGGAUUUCAAGCGAGAUCUUCUAUCAAGAGAAUCCCAUACUGGAUACAAUCCAUUACACUAACAUUUUCUUCCUACAGGACCCCACAGGGCUAUCAUCAUCCCAUUUCAGCAGGAAGUAACUUGGAGGAUGCUAUGACUCCUUUCCCCAUUGUUGUCACUUAGGAUAGUGUAUAUACCUAGUUAGGGAUAGCUUCCUAUUGUUUAUUGUUGGGAUUGGAAGGAGGUGUUCAGGCUUGGACACCUCUUUCAGAUGACUUUAGGGUUUAGUUAAAAUAGUUAGGAUGCGACAUAAGCAAAUUGUUGUAUCUUCUUAUAUUUUAAGUUUUAAUCCUCUUUUAGACUAAAAGGGGAAUUGUAGGGGAAGCUGUAGCCACGCCUACUUAGGGCCUGGCUACAGGUGUGCCUGACCACGCUUGCGAGGGCGUGGUCAGGGUGAUGUAGAGUGAGACUUUCAG
rnacentral:lncRNA from 1 species